rnacentral:tRNA from 1 species
GCAGUGGUGGUUCAGUGUUAGAAUUCUCAUCUUCCAUACAAGAGACUCGGGUUUGAUUCCUGGCCAAUGCC